rnacentral:sRNA from 1 species
AUAUAACGGUAUUGCACCGUAACGAAACAAAAAAUUAAUUCGUAAUAUUUUUCGUUAUUUUUCCAAUAAAUUUAGGUAUUUUUUUAUUUUUAGGUUUAUAUUUCCUGUAUUAAUCCAAUUUUAUUCCAAAUUUAGCACGUUUUUAUUUCGGGCCAUUUAAUAUAAUAUGCAUAUCGAGGUUUUAUUUUAUAUAUAAAUGGUACCGCACCGGUAAUAUAUCCGAAUCCAAUUUUCCAGGUGGGGUUAUAUUUUUUUCCAAUUGCAAUAAUAAUUUUUUGCCAAAAAAUAAACCUUUUUUAUUUUAUCGCAUUAAUAAUUUUUAUAAAUUAUCCAAUUAUUGCAUAUUUUGUAAAAAUUUUGAAAUUUUUCCUAAUUAUUGUCCGUAAUAUUUUAAAUUUUAUGGAAUAAAUAGGUGGUUAAUCGGUCGUAUUAUUGGUUAGAUAUUUUAAAUAUUUUGUUUUUCCAACCACAGUUUUUACAAUAACGUAAUGCAAAAAACUUCCCUAUUUAAAGAUUUUUGUUUUUUUUGUGCAUUUGGAUAUAUUUAUUGCAAUUUUAAUUCUGGCCCCGGUUUAUUAUUUGUAUUUUGCAAAUAUAUCCCGUUUAUUGUAAUUAUUUAUGUGAUUUACAGCAAUUAAAUUCGGUUAAUUAGGUAAUUAUGGUUUUUUUGGAUAACCCUAAUAAAUAUUAAUACGUCCGGGUAUUUGUUUAUUAAUUUAACCAUUAUAUUAAUUGUAUUCCAAUUGGAUAUUUAAACUGAUUGGUUUUAAAAAUAUAAAUUGCACAACCAAUAUCCGCCCUACAUUUUGCCUAAAUAUAUAUUGUUGCAUCGUCCCGUUAUUAUAUUAUCGCAACGUCGCACAAUUACAAACGGCAUACAUAUAAUAUUUUAACAAAACAAAAUUCCUUUCCACCUUUCCAAAAUUCAUUUUUUUUUUUUUUUUUGGUUUUUCCCCCUAUAAAUAGCCUAAAUAU